rnacentral:rRNA from 1 species
ACGGAAGGCAGCAGCUAAGAAUAUUCCGCAAUGGACGAAAGUCUGACGGAGCGACGCCGCGUGAACGAUGAAGGUCGGAAGAUUGUAAAGUUCUUUUAUAACUGAGGAAUAAGUACUUUGAGAGAAACGGAGUAUGGUGACUGUAGGUUAUGAAUAAGCAACGGCUAAUUACGUGCCAGCAGCCGCGGUAACACGUAAGUUGCGAGCGUUGUUCGGAAUUAUUGGGCGUAAAGGGCAUGUAGUCGGUUAUGAAAGUCUGGAGUGAAAUCCCUGAGCUUAACUCAGGAACUGCUUUGGAAACUGCAUGACUAGAAUUACUGAAGGGCAACUGGAAUUCCAAGUGUAGGGGUGAAAUCUGUAGAUAUUUGGAAGAACACCAAUGGCGAAGGCAAGUUGCUGGCAGAUAAUUGACGCUGAGGUGCGAAGGUGCGGGGAGCAAACAGGAUUAGAUACCCUGGUA